GCUCGGGCGAGCGGCGCCGAGGCGGCGAAUGCGGAGAGCAGCAUCCCGGGGAUCGCUCUCCAGCUCAGCCCCGCGCCGCUGGUUUCAUUUCCUUUUUCCUGAUCACGAUUCAAAUACAAUGGAAGGAAAUCGCACUUAAAGAGACAGCUGCCCGCUUCUUAACCGGGCUCCCGGGGGUCAGCAGCACCAGCAGCGGCGUCGCGACUCCCUCGCUCCCUUAAAGCGGCAGAGCCCGUCUCCCCGAGCGAGGCGGGGGGCCCGCUUCGCGGCUUCACGCCGCGGCGCGCUGUAGGAACGCGCUCUCGGUGAGCGGGGUGCCCGCGCAGUCGUGCAGCCUGAAAAUAAUCCGAGGGGCUUAGAAAUCUGAGCGCCUGGUUCCAUCUUUAUUGGCUUCUUAGCUCCACACAUUACCGAGGCACGGGAGUCACGGUCUCUCCUCUCUUCCUCUCCUCUUAGAUACGCACAUGCCCACACGCACGCACGCUUUUGUACGGUACUUUGAGAUCUACGCAUACAGACACUAGGUAAGGAACUAAGUAUUAUUUUCUACCUAGGAUUCAGAUUGGCCAUCUAAACCUUACUUGUCUCAUUUCCUAUUCUAUAGAGAACAUUUAUGGGUGUCUACUCCUAGGUGUCCCCACCUAGUUCUUGGCUAACUCAGAUCUCACAGAUAACUUCACUGAAGCUAACGACAUACUUCAUAUACUCAGAGUUGAGUACCUGUUUACAUGCUUUGCUGGACAGCUUAAGAAUGCUUUCUACCUUGCAAGAUCCAUGUCUCAACUGCAGGAAGCUUUUCUACCUAAAACAAUGGAAUAUUGUGUUAGUAAAGAAGCUGAGAAGGACGAUUGUACAUGUUUUAUUGUCACUCUUUCAGUCGGGUGCAGAGCUUGACUGAAGCUUUCAGAUCCAGAACAAACUGCCUAAGAAGAAUCAGUUCCUUAAGCGGAUACUACUUGUGAUAGCACUGAUAUCUCUGCAUGAUUCCAAUAGAUACCACCUUUCUGCUGGUCUAAAAAGAUGUGUAGUGAUGACCACAAGAUUAUUUGUUGUUUUCUUUCUUUCCUAUAAAGGAGAGAUGCUAGGCAAAAUAAUGUGAGCAGAACUAGGAAAAGUGAAAAAGCAGCCAGUUUGCUGCUACAUAACAUAAUAAAUGUGGUGCUCCACUGUGCUUAGUCGAAGAGUGCUUGAACUCAAUCUGCUUAAGCAAAUGAUAAUUGGGAAAUACUGCAUGAGGAUUAAAGUUGUCAUGGUACCUUGAACAAACUGCACAGCAAAGACACAAGGUAACACUUGGCUUCCUGCCUCAGGUGGGAAUUCAAAAUAAACCAAAAGCUUGCUUUGCAAGCAUCGGUGUGGCAGAACAUAAACAGAAAUUGCCAGGAAGCAGUGUCCUAUACUGACAGAUAUGUACUGAACUGUUGUUGGUUUUUUGCCUGAAUGGAAUUUCUGUAAGCACCUUUUCUUCAAACUUUCUGUGGAGGUAUUUAGUGGUAGUUGUAAUUGCAUUAACAGCAGAAAACCCACCAAUAAGAGUCUCCGUAUUGUAACCCAGAAACUACUUUUUCUCACAUCUUUUGGGGAAGGAAAAUGUACAGUUUCCUCUGACAAUUCAAAUUUUCUUUUAUUAGCUUUACAUAUAAUAGACUCUUGUUCUGGCCAGUGAAACUUGUCAUCUCCACCUGAGGAGUCUUGAGUCCCACCAGAACAGCAGCACCAACCAGCAAACAAGUGUGGCUUUUUUUUUUUUUUUUUUUUUUUUUUUUUUUUCCAGCUUGGGCAUGUCCCUUAAUACCUCUGUGCCUCGAUUUUCCCAUCUGUAAAUGUUUACUUCCCUCAACAGAAUCUGUGAUUGAUUUACUUUUGCCUCCUGCUGAAUAAGGCUCAUAAAGACAAAAUGUUAUUCAGUGCUAGUAUUCGUAGUGCCUACAUUUCCUGCAUAGAGACAAAAAGACUAGUACUAUUUUUAGUGAGGGAUUUUCUUUCCAUUGUCCCUUUCUCUGUGAGGCUAUGUUUUCCAGAGCUAUUUAGCACAGCUUUUUAUAUUCAGUGACAGAUUGAGGGAUGAGUGUUGGUUUCAAUUAACUUUCAUUAAUACAGAUCAUACUAUAGACAAAUUCUUGGAGCAUUACUAAGAUAAAAUCCAGUAUUAUUGUUUGCAUUUAGCAUUCAGUGCUUGGAAUAAAAUGCCAUAAAUAAAUUGGCCAGACUUUUCUGUGUAUUUCUCAAUAACACUAUUUUUUUGUAAAACUGCAUUGUUUCUAGGAGUGAUGUCAUUGAAACAAAUAGCUAAACAUGCGUGUUUCCAAACAUCCCCUCUUGAACUUGGUGGAUAUUUUCACCUUUGCUUUGGAACUCUGCUCAUUUGUGGUCCCAGGAUUCUCUUUUGCACUAUCAUAUGUCAGUCUUAGGUCAUUCCUACCUUUAUUCCAUCUUUAGUGUGUCCUAGCUUUUUUUCUUCUGUAGCUGAUGGAUUAUAUUGAACUAUUUCAGGUCACUCUCAUUUAGAGAAGUCUAAAAAUAGUAAGACUAACUUUGCUGCCCUUAAUAGUCAGUAACGUUUGUUGCCUAAAAUGCGGUUGAUGAAGAUUUAAGUCUCUGCGCAAAUACAAAAAUUAAAUCUCAAUGACUGUGGCAUAGAUUUUCUGUUAGUACUUACUAUGGGAUAGAAAAGUCAAGACCAUGGCUGAAGUCUAAUGAUUAAUAUGAAAGGUGGGGGAGAGAGAGAAAUAAGGACUUCAGUAAUGUUGGCUAUAUUCUGCCACUGAUCUACCAUAUGGUGUUCAUAAAUUCCCUGCUCCAUUUGAUUCCUCAAUUUACCUAUUUGUAAAAUGGAAGCUUUCUACCUCUUUUCCAUCACAAGCUGAACUGGAGCUUUGGCAUGUGGGAUCUUCGGCUGACAUUCUGAAGAAAUGUAAAGUUGUUUAUUCUUUGGGUUUUUUUGAACACAAUUUUGAUACUCGAAAACAAAUUGAGAUGCUCAGGAGCAAUUCUGUUUGUCCAUCUCUGGUCGCUAUUAAAUAAUACAGGAUACUUGAGAAAUAUAAAUCAGCUGCUGAUUAAAUACUGCUGAGGACAUUUGACAUCACUGGAGAAUCAAUGCCAUGUCAGUAGCAAAUCAUUUUGCUGUCAUGUUGUAGCAGGGGUGCAUUGCAGGGGUGAAAGGCAACACAUUAUACAAGGAGAAAUAUAUAUUUUGUCUUUUUAAUGGACAUGGAAAACUUUUUUUAGCCAAUAAGUUAUGUUACAUGUGCUCUCUCCACAAGUGCUAUUUUUUCGUAUGCAAGACUACAUCUUUCUCCUAGUUAAAGUAGGAGCUCCCUAACUAGCAUUCUUUUUAACUUUCAUGGGGAUGGAAGUGGUGAUAGCAAGGACAGAGAGCUUUCUUUAAGUGAAGACCACAGGCACUAACCUUAAUGUCUCUGGAGGCUCUCAGUAAAGCAAGAUUUAAAGGACUUUAAGACUCCUGACUAAGGAUGCACUUCUCUUUUGGGGGGUUAACCUUUCCUUUGAACUGGAAGAAAACAAACCAGAACAAUAAAAACCACACUUAGAGUGAGGUUUGCCCUGAGGUUGUGAAGUUCAGACUUUCAGAUAACAAGUCUGGUGCAUAAAUAAGUUUGUGUAGUUUUUGUUUUAUUUUGCCUUAUUUUAUUGAACAAGCAACACAGAUGGAAAAGUCUGUUUAUAGCUGAAAGAAACCUUCUAUCACAGGUCACACCACAGAUGACAAAAAGUAAGUUGCAAGCAGAUAAAGGGAUAUUUUGCUGCAGACGUGUGAAAGGUUCUUCCCUUCCCUGUUUCCUUUCUCUUUUUUCAUUGAUUUCUCCGGCUCCUGUCAAGCCCUCACUGCCUUACAUGCAAGCAAGAUCCAAUUACUGUCUUUUUUUUUCACGAGGCUACUACUGCUCUGCAGUAUCAUUCUUUCAAGUCAUUUGCACCUUUUCUGUCUUUUCUGUGGUAAGGACUCUCUCCUGUGCUCAUGCAUGUGAGCCACUCCAUGGAUAGUUUUUAUUUUAGUAUUACAUGUCUCAUCCAAAGCCCAUACACAUCAGAGGAAGAGCACCUAUUAACCUAAACGGCCUUGGAGUCUGACCCCAAAAUACUUUUCUUUUAGGAAAUAACCACAGUCUGGAAAUAUAAUUCCCUCGGGCAAAAUUUUAGAGAUAGUCAUAUACCAACCAUAACCUCUGUAGUUCAGAGUCCCCUAUUUCUGUUCAUAUGAAAUAUGUAUAUGUGUAUAUGUAUCUAUGUAUGCAUGUGUAUAUAUGUAUAUAUAUAUAAAUACAUUCAGAUGUCUAUGUAAUAUAUAUAUAAUUAUA